CAAAUACUCCAUCCAUCCGGAAAUACUUGUCAUCAAAAUGGAUAAAAGGAAAUGUAUCUAGACGUAUUUUAGUUUUAGAUACAUCUCUUUUUAUCCAUUUUGAUGACAAAUAUUUUCGGACGGAGGGAGUAGAAA
rnacentral:pre_miRNA from 1 species